ACGCACGCUUGCGGCGUGCUUCACCCAUGCAAGUCGCACGGAAAGGCCCUGCUUUUGUGGGGUGCUCGAGUGGCGAACGGGUUAGUAACACGUGAGUUACCUGCCCUUGACUUUGGGAUAACUUCAGGAAACUGGGGCUAAUACCGGAUAGGAGCUCCUGCUGCAUGGUGGGGGUUGGAAAGUUUCGGCGGUUGGGGAUGGACUCGCGGCUUAUCAGCUUGUUGGUGGGGUAGUGGCUUACCAAGGCUUUGACGGGUAGCCGGCCUGAGAGGGUGACCGGCCACAUUGGGACUGAGAUACGGCCCAGACUCCUACGGGAGGCAGCAGUGGGGAAUAUUGCACAAUGGGCGGAAGCCUGAUGCAGCAACGCCGCGUGCGGGAUGACGGCCUUCGGGUUGUAAACCGCUUUCGCCUGUGACGAAGCGUGAGUGACGGUAAUGGGUAAAGAAGCACCGGCUAACUACGUG
rnacentral:rRNA from 1 species